AAAUUUUGCAAUAAAAGCUUGCCUCAUUUGUUUUUUUUUUGCACUCUUUGAACCAAGAUGAAUCUGUUAAUGUACUAUACAUUAAUACUGCUUCUGCUGACUGGUGUAAUGCUUGUGUCUGGAUUUGUGACGGGGAAAAAAUAUUCACGUGACGAAGAAGACGCAAUAUACCGCGAAGAAUCAAGAAGGGCCAGGGAGCAUGCCAGAGCCGCAAAUCAACCCAGAGGAAGAAAGUGAAUAAGUGGACCUACUCUUUCUGGCGUCGCUGCUGGCCGCUGUCAUGAUGGCAGCUGGGAAACCUGUGUCGCAGGAACAGUACACCACGCCGUGUAAACGCAAGUAAAACGCAUCGGUGAACAACCUUCAUGGUUGACAGUUUUACAAACUGUACGUUGAUAACAAUGAAAUAAAUUGUUUGUGAACAAAA